AUAAGCGGAGGAAAAGAAACCAACAGGGAUUGCCCUAGUAACGGCGAGUGAAGCGGCAACAGCUCAAAUUUGAAAUCUGGUCCCGUCAGGGUCCCGAGUUGUAAUUUGCAGAGGGUGCUUUGGCUCCAGGCUAUGGCCUAAGUUCUUUGGAACAGGACGUCACAGAGGGUGAGAACCCCGUACGUGGCUGCUAGCCUGGGUCGUGUAAAGCCCCUUCGACGAGUCGAGUUGUUUGGGAAUGCAGCUCUAAAUGGGAGGUAAAUUUCUUCUAAAGCUAAAUAUUGGCCAGAGACCGAUAGCGCACAAGUAGAGUGAUCGAAAGAUGAAAAGCACUUUGGAAAGAGAGUCAAAAAGCACGUGAAAUUGUUGAAAGGGAAGCGCUUGCAGCCAGACCUGGGGAGGGUGUAUACGAGGGCUCUUGCCCUCGCUUCCGCCGUCUCCAGGCCAGCAUCAGUCUUCGCGGCUGGAUAAAGGCCUUGGGAAUGUAGCUCUCUCCGGGGAGUGUUAUAGCCCUCGGUGUCAUGCAGCCAGCGAAGACUGAGGACCGCGCACUGCUAGGAUGCUGGCGUAAUGGCUGUAAGCGGCCCGUCUUGAAACACGGACCAAGGAGUCUAACAUCUAUGCGAGUGUUUGGGUGUCAAGCCCGGACGCGUAAUGAAAGUGAACGGAGGUGGGAACCCUUAAGGGUGCACCAUCGACCGAUCCUGAUGUCUUCGGAUGGAUUUGAGUAAGAGCAUAGCUGUUGGGACCCGAAAGAUGGUGAACUAUGCCUGAAUAGGGUGAAGCCAGAGGAAACUCUGGUGGAGGCUCGCAGCGGUUCUGACGUGCAAAUCGAUCGUCAAAUUUGGGCAUAGGGGCGAAAGACUAAUCGAACUAUCUAGUAGCUGGUUCCUGCCGAAGUUUCCCUCAGGAUAGCAGUAACGUUUUCAGUUUUAUGAGGUAAAGCGAAUGAUUAGAGGCCUGGGGGUUGAAACAACCUUCACCUAUUCUCAAACUUUAAAUAUGUAAGAAGUCCUUGUUGCUUAAUU
rnacentral:rRNA from 1 species